GCCUCCAUGGCUUAGUGGUACAGCGUCUCACUCGUAUUUGAACCAAUGUAUGACAAUGAGAAGAUCGCCGGGUAAGAAUUGUUUGUUAUGGUGGUGCGGAAUGAUGGAUAUUGAUUGUUUAACUAGUUCGAUUCCGGCUGGAGGCA